AUGGCAACCUUCCCUGGCCAAGUUUCCACCUAUUUCCUGGCAGCCUGGACAGGCCCAGGUCCUGCCACACACUGGCCUCUCUACGCCCAGCUCAUGCCUCACAGUGGCCUCUCCAGGCCCAGCUCCUGUCCCGGGACAUCAUCUCCAGGCCCAAAACUUCCUCAAGUCGGCCUCUCCAGGCCCAGUUGCUGCCUCCCGGCAUUCUCUCCAGGCCUAGCUCUUCCUCCUGGCUGUAUCUACAAGACCAACUCCUGCCUCACAACAACCUUUUAUGGCUCAGCUCCUGCCCAACUACUGCCGGCCUUUGUAGGCCCAAAACUUCCUCAAGUCAAGCUCUUUAGGCCCACCUUCUGCCUUGCAGUGGCCUGUACAGACCCAGCUCUGG
rnacentral:lncRNA from 1 species